GAUGAACGCUGGCGGCGUGCCUAAUACAUGCAAGUCGAGCGAACGGACGAGAAGCUUGCUUCUCUGAUGUUAGCGGCGGACGGGUGAGUAACACGUGGAUAACCUACCUAUAAGACUGGGAUAACUUCGGGAAACCGGAGCUAAUACCGGAUAAUAUUUUGAACCGCAUGGUUCAAAAGUGAAAGACGGUCUUGCUGUCACUUAUAGAUGGAUCCGCGCUGCAUUAGCUAGUUGGUAAGGUAACGGCUUACCAAGGCAACGAUGCAUAGCCGACCUGAGAGGGUGAUCGGCCACACUGGAACUGAGACACGGUCCAGACUCCUACGGGAGGCAGCAGUAGGGAAUCUUCCGCAAUGGGCGAAAGCCUGACGGAGCAACGCCGCGUGAGUGAUGAAGGUCUUCGGAUCGUAAAACUCUGUUAUUAGGGAAGAACAUAUAUGUAAGUAACUGUGCACAUCUUGACGGUACCUAAUCAGAAAGCCACGGCUAACUACGUG
rnacentral:rRNA from 1 species